AUGAACGCUGGCGGCGUGCCUAAUCCCUGCAAGUCGCGCGAACAGACGAGGAGCUUGCUCCUCUGACGUUAGCGGCGGACGGGUGAGUAACACGUGGAUAACCUACCUAUAAGACUGGGAUAACUUCGGGAAACCGGAGCUAAUACCGGAUAAUAUAUUGAACCGCAUGGUUCAAUAGUGAAAGACGGUUUUGCUGUCACUUAUAGAUGGAUCCGCGCCGCAUUAGCUAGUUGGUAAGGUAACGGCUUACCAAGGCAACGAUGCGUAGCCGACCUGAGAGGGUGAUAGGCCACACUGGAACUGAGACACGGUCCAGACUCCUACGGGAGGCAGCAGUAGGGAAUCUUCCGCAAUGGGCGAAAGCUUGACGGAGCAACGCCGCGUGAGUGAUGAAGGUCUUCGGAUCGUAAAACUCUGUUAUUAGGGAAGAACAAAUGUGUAAGUAACUAUGCACGUCUUGACGGUACCUAAUCAGAAAGCCACGGCUAACUACGUG
rnacentral:rRNA from 1 species